rnacentral:rRNA from 1 species
AUGAACGCUGGCGGCGUGCCUAAUACAUGCAAGUCGAGCGAACAGACGAGGAGCUUGCUCCUCUGCCGUUAGCGGCGGCCGGGUGAGUAACACGUGGAUAACCUACCUAUACGACUGGGAUAACUUCGGGAAACCGGAGCUAAUACCGGAUAAUAUAUUGAACCGCAUGGUUCAAUAGUGAAAGACGGUUUUGCUGUCACUUAUAGAUGGCUCCGCGCCGCAUUAGCUAGUUGGUAAGGUAACGGCUUACCAAGGCAACGAGGGGUAGCCGACCUGAGAGGGGGAUAGGCCACACUGGAACUGAGACACGGUCCAGGCUCCUACGGGAGGCAGCAGUAGGGAAUCGUCCGCAAUGGGCGAAAGCCUGACGGAGCAACGGCGCGUGAGUGAUGAAGGUCUUCGGAUCGUAAAACUCUGUUAUGAGGGAAGAACAAAUGUGUAAGUAACUAUGCACGUCUUGACGGUACCGAAUCAGAAAGCCACGGCUAACUACGUG